AAUUAAAGGCGUAGAAAUGAAGAUAACAGGGAAGCCUUACCUGGCGAUUCGAAGGCGCAGGCGACAGCAACAGCUCGAGCACUCCCGGAGAAUUCUCUCUUCCUCCUCCUCUCAGUCUCUUCCCCUCUGUUCGUGUGUUUCUGCUUGUUGGGUUUUUUACUUACUCUCUGCUUUCCUCUUCUGUUUGUGUUCUCUGCCGCUGUGUCCACUAUUCUCUCUUCUUCUCAGUUUAUUAAGGAAGGUAAUGGAUAUGCCGGCUUUCUCUAAGUUUUUUACUGACUUCGGGUUCUUCCUUUUUCUGAUUUGCAGGGGAAGGGGCGAUUGCGAAGACGAUGGUAUUAACGUUGGUUUUCUGGGUUUACUGCUUGUAUUGGUCUCUGUUUUUGCUGUGUGUACUGUUUCUUUUGUCUCUGUUUUAUGGGUUUCUUCUGUUUAUGCUGGGUUUUUUUUUUCCUCUGGUGUGCUUGCGUCCCGUCCCCUGGAGUUGGCUUUUCUUCUCCCUUUUAUAGAGAAGAUUGCCCCUCAACCAGUACUGCCCUUGCAGGACUGUUAUGGAAUCCACGACCGAGAUCGUGGGCAAGAGACGGGGUCAUGAUCGGAUUUGUUGCAGAUUUUCCGGUCUCCGGUUGAAUCGGGAUGGAGAAGAUACACGAUCCCCAACACGGCGCCGUUUCGGCAGAAAGUGAUAUUUUCAUUUUGACCCCUGCUUUCUUUGUAAAUUUUGAUAGUUGGACCUCAAUUAAAAUCCCUUUUAAUUUUACCCUUGUAUUAAUUUCAAUUAAGUCCCUGAAUUAAUUAAUCAAAUCAAAGUUUAAUUAAGUCCAC
rnacentral:lncRNA from 1 species